rnacentral:rRNA from 1 species
GAUGAACGCUAGCGGCAGGCCUAACACAUGCAAGUCGAGGGGCAGCGAAGAAGUAGCUUGCUACUUUUGUCGGCGACCGGCGCACGGGUGCGUAACGCGUAUGCAACCUACCUUAAACAGGGGGAUAAUUCGGAGAAAUCUGGUCUAAUACCCCAUAACAUCAGAGUCGGCAUCGGCUUUGGUUAAAAACUCCGGUGGUUUAAGAUGGGCAUGCGUUGUAUUAGCUGGUUGGUGAGGUAACGGCUCACCAAGGCUACGAUACAUAGGGGGACUGAGAGGUUAACCCCCCACACUGGUACUGAGACACGGACCAGACUCCUACGGGAGGCAGCAGUGAGGAAUAUUGGUCAAUGGACGCAAGUCUGAACCAGCCAUGCCGCGUGCAGGAAGACGGCUCUAUGAGUUGUAAACUGCUUUUGUACCAGGGUAAACCCAGAUACGUGUAUCUGGCUGAAAGUAUGGUACGAAUAAGGACCGGCUAACUCCGUGCCAGCAGCCGCAGUAAAAC